GUUGAACGCUGGCGGCAUGCCUAACACAUGCAAGUCGACCGAGGGGCGGAUGGGUUAGUAAUGUCUGGGAAACUGCCUGAUGGAGGGGGAUAACUACGGGAAACGGUAGCUAAAACCGCGACCCAUAGGCUGUUCCCAGCUGGGAUUAGCUAGUAGGUGGGGUAAAGGCUCACCUAGGAGACGAUCCCUGGCUGGACUGAGAGUAUGACCAGCCACACUGGAACUGAGACACGGUCCAGACUCCUACGGGAGGCAGCAGUGGGGAAUAGUGCACAAUGGGCGCAAGCCUGGUGCAGCCAUGCCGCGUGUAUGAAGAAGGCCUUCGGGUUGUAAAGUACUUUCAGCGGGGAGGCGUUACCCGCAGAAGAAGCACCGGCUAACUCCGUGCCAGCAGCCGCGGUAAUAC
rnacentral:rRNA from 1 species